rnacentral:piRNA from 1 species
UUAAAAAUGUGUGUGCGUGGU